AGCGAGAUUUUUUCCUGUAGCAAUACAGGAAAAAGUCUAGCGGCGAACGGGUGCUUAACACGUGGGCAAUCUGUCUUAAAGUGGGGGAUAGCUCGGCGAAAGCCGAAUUAAUACCGCAUGUGAUAAGUGAAGACAUCUUCGCGACAUCAAAGGUGGCGCAAGCUACCGCUUUUUGAGGAGCCCGCGGCCUAUCAGCUAGUUGGUGAGGUGACGGCUCACCAAGGCUUUGACGGGUAGCUGGUCUGAGAGGACGACCAGCCACACUGGGACUGAGACACGGCCCAGAUACCUACGGGUGGCAGCAGUCGAGAAUUUUUCUCAAUGGGGGAAACCCUGAAGGAGCGACGCCGCGUGGAGGAUGAAGGUCUUCGGGUUGUAAACUCCUGUCAUUUGGGAACAAGGCGUACGUGUUAACUGCACGUGCGUUGAUAGUACCAGAAGAGGAAGAGACGGCUAACUCUGUGCCAGCAGCCGCGGUAAUACAGAAGGUCUCAAGCGUUGUUCGGAUUCAUUGGGCGUAAAGGGUGCGUAGGCGGCGCGGUAAGUCGGGUGUGAAAUCUCGGAGCUUAACUCCCAAACUGCAUUCGAUACUGCCGUGCUUGAGGACUGGAGAGGAGACUGGAAUUUACGGUGUAGCGGUGAAAUGCGUAAAUUUCGUAAGGAAAACCAGUGGCGAAGGCGGGGUCUCUGGACAGUUCCUGACGCUGAGGCCCGAAGGCCAGGGGAGCAAACGGGAU
rnacentral:rRNA from 1 species